rnacentral:rRNA from 1 species
CCUACGGGUGGCAGCAGUGGGGAAUAUUGGGCAAUGGGCGCAAGCCUGACCCAGCAACGCCGCGUGAAGGAAGAAGGCUUUCGGGUUGUAAACUUCUUUUAUCAGGGACGAAGCAAGUGACGGUACCUGAUGAAUAAGCCACGGCUAACUACGUGCCAGCAGCCGCGGUAAUACGUAGGUGGCAAGCGUUAUCCGGAUUUACUGGGUGUAAAGGGCGUGUAGGCGGGAGUGCAAGUCAGAUGUGAAAACUAUGGGCUCAACCCAUAGCCUGCAUUUGAAACUGUACUUCUUGAGUGCUGGAGAGGCAAUCGGAAUUCCGUGUGUAGCGGUGAAAUGCGUAGAUAUACGGAGGAAUACCGUUAGCGAAGGCGGCAAUCUGGCUGGAAACUGACGCUGAGGUGCGAAAGCGUGGGUAGCAAACAGGAUUAGAUACCCGUGUAGUC